AUUGAACGCUGGCGGCAGGCUUAACACAUGCAAGUCGAACGAGUGGCGGACGGGUGAGUAAUGCUUGGGAAACUGGCUUAUGGAGGGGGAUAACGACGGGAAACGGUCGCUAAUACCGCAUACCAUAAGAUGAGCCCAGGUGGGAUUAGGUAGUUGGUGGGGUAAUGGCCUACCAAGGCGACGAUCGCUAGCUGGUCUGAGAGGAUGACCAGCCACACCGGAACUGAGACACGGCCCGGACUCCUACGGGAGGCAGCAGUGGGGAAUAUUGCGCAAUGGGGGCAACCCUGACGCAGCCAUGCCGCGUGUAUGAAGAAGGCCUUCGGGUUGUAAAGUUCUUUCGGUGACGAGGCGUUACUCACAGAAGAAGCACCGGCUAACUCCGUGCCAGCAGCCGCGGUAAUAC
rnacentral:rRNA from 1 species